GCCUGGGUGGCUCAGUUGGUUAAGCAUCUGACUUCAGCUCAGGUCAUGAUCUCAUGAUUUGUGAGUUCGAGCCCCGCAUCAGGCU
rnacentral:tRNA from 1 species